UUAAGAGCUUGCUCUUAUGAAGUUAGCGGCGGACGGGUGAGUAACACGUGGGUAACCUGCCCAUAAGACUGGGAUAACUCCGGGAAACCGGGGCUAAUACCGGAUAACAUUUUGAACCGCAUGGUUCGAAAUUGAAAGGCGGCUUCGGCUGUCACUUAUGGAUGGACCCGCGUCGCAUUAGCUAGUUGGUGAGGUAACGGCUCACCAAGGCAACGAUGCGUAGCCGACCUGAGAGGGUGAUCGGCCACACUGGGACUGAGACACGGCCCAGACUCCUACGGGAGGCAGCAGUAGGGAAUCUUCCGCAAUGGACGAAAGUCUGACGGAGCAACGCCGCGUGAGUGAUGAAGGCUUUCGGGUCGUAAAACUCUGUUGUUAGGGAAGAACAAGUGCUAGUUGAAUAAGCUGGCACCUUGACGGUACCUAACCAGAAAGCCACGGCUAACUACGUGCCAGCAGCCGCGGUAAUACGUAGGUGGCAAGCGUUAUCCGGAAUUAUUGGGCGUAAAGCGCGCGCAGGUGGUUUCUUAAGUCUGAUGUGAAAGCCCACGGCUCAACC
rnacentral:rRNA from 1 species